rnacentral:rRNA from 1 species
UACGAACCGGACAAACGUUAUUCGGAAUCACUGGGCUUAAAGAGUGCGUAGGCGGCCUGCCAAGUUGGGUGUGAAAUCCCUCGGCUCAACCGAGGAAUUGCGCUCAAAACUGGUAGGCUCGAGGAAGGCAGGGGUAAGCGGAACAGAUGGUGGAGCGGUGAAAUGCGUUGAUAUCAUCUGGAACACCAGUGGCGAAGGCGGCUUACUGGGCCUUUACUGACGCUGAGGCACGAAAGCUAGGGUAGCGAACGGG